rnacentral:rRNA from 1 species
UACGUAGGGUGCGAGCGUUAAUCGGAAUUACUGGGCGUAAAGCGCGUGUAGGCGGUCGGGCAAGUCGGAUGUGAAAGCCCAGGGCUCAACCCUGGAAGUGCACUCGAUACUGCUCGGCUAGAGUCCCGGAGAGGAUGGUGGAACUCUCGGUGUAGAGGUGAAAUUCGUAGAUAUCGAGAAGAACACCGGUGGCGAAGGCGGCCAUCUGGACGGUGACUGACGCUGAGACGCGAAAGCGUGGGGAGCAAACAGG